CGGAUUCUUCUGAUCAUCUCCCUCGCGUUCCAUACGUUUGGCGAAAUUCAAAGACGCCUAUUGCCUUUUCAGAGGGAGGAUCCUUUCGGAAACAAAGGAAAGUCGAAACAUUUGCAGAGAGAAGAAGAUGUUGAGAGUUGCAGCUAGGAGGCUUUGUUCUCUCAGUUCCACGCAGCCGUCGUGGAGGCCCAACCAGGCUGCUUCGGCAAUCGUGUCGCGGAAUCCAAUCACCGGCGGUGAUUCUUCCUCCGUGUACGACUUUAAAUCCAAAGCCUUGAAUGAUUACUUUGCUUUCCGGCCUCAUUUUCAUCUUCCUCACAGAGGUUUCUCUUCUGAAUCACUCACCCCAAGAAAUGAAGAUGGCAUAGUUUCAGAUAUUCCAGCAACAGUGGCAGCUGUUAAGAACCCCACUUCGAAGAUAGUUUAUGAUGAGUACAACCAUGAGCGUUUCCCUCCAGGUGAUCCCAGCAAGCGGGCAUUUGCCUAUUUUGUCCUUACUGGUGGCCGUUUUGUCUAUGCUUCAGUGGUCCGUCUCCUUAUUCUCAAGUUUGUGCUGAGCAUGUCUGCUAGCAAGGACGUUCUUGCACUUGCUUCGAUUGAGGUUGAUCUCUCAAGCAUUGAGCCUGGCACCACUGUGACUGUUAAGUGGCGUGGAAAGCCAGUUUUCAUCAGGCGCCGAUCAGAAGAAGAUGUGAAGCUGGCAAAUAGUGUUGAGUUAGCAUCUCUUCGUGACCCACAGCCUGAUGCUGAGAGGGUCAAGAACCCAGAAUGGCUAGUUGUUAUAGGGGUCUGCACGCAUUUGGGUUGCAUUCCCUUGCCAAAUGCUGGUGAUUUUGGCGGCUGGUUUUGCCCAUGCCACGGUUCACAUUAUGAUAUCUCUGGCAGGAUCCGCAAGGGACCAGCACCAUACAAUCUGGAGGUGCCUACUUACACCUUUUUAGAUGAGAACAAGUUACUGAUUGGCUGAGGUUUAUACUUUACUAAACAGUGGUUAAUUGGGACACUUCUUUUUUUUUUUUUUUUUU
rnacentral:misc_RNA from 1 species